AGGCAGUCAUGCCGUAGAAUGAGAAUCAAAAAAUGGAACCUUUUCUCAAGAAUUUCAAGGCAGGCACAAAACAGCUUUGUGGCAUGUGGUAUGAGUGACAUUAACACCCUGGGAAAUAGCCACUGGUCUACUCUCCCGAGGAGGGAAACGAUUUGUCAGAUUAUGGAUCUGUACUUCUCAUAGAAUUUCAAGAGUUGGAAGUUAACUUUAUUAAGAUCCUCUAUUCUCAACAUGUCACUGAUUAAUCAUCAGCUCCCCAGAGAAGAUCAUUCAGCCUCUGCCUGGAGGUUUCCAAUGAGGGCUUGCCUACUAUUGCACAUGGCAGCAUGUUCUACUUCUGGACAUCUCUAAUUGUUAGAAAAAUUUUCCUUAUGUAAAUUUGUUUCUCUGUUCCUUCUACUUGUUGCUUCUAGUUUUAAUUAUCAUUUUCUUUUUAGUAUAUAGUCCCUUUCUUAAAAAAAUUUGCAUUGAUAUUCAUUAGAAAUAUUGAUCUGUAAAUGUUUUUGUCUAAUCUCUCUCUGGUUUAGGUAUUAAGAUUAUAUUGGUAGCAUAAGUUGAGGUUUUCAUUUUCUUCCCAUUUUUAUAGGUUCUUUAAUAACAGAAUUCAUUUGUUUGAAUGAUUAGUAUAAUUCAUUUAUGAAUCCUUCCAGUCCUGGUCUUUUUCUUUUAGAAGAUCAUUUACUUUGUUUAAUUUGUUUUCCUGAAAUUAUAUUGUUUUCUAUUUUGUGUUCUUUUAAUUUGUG
rnacentral:lncRNA from 1 species